UAAGACGGAUGGGGCUAGCGUUGUUCGGAAUUACUGGGCGUAAAGGGCGCGUAGGCGGCCAAUUAAGUUAGACGUGAAAGCCCUGGGCUUAACCCAGGAAUUGCGUUUAAUACUGGAUGGCUAGAGUUCGAUAGAGGAAAGCGGAAUUCCUAGUGUAGAGGUGAAAUUCGUAGAUAUUAGGAAGAACACCAGAGGCGAAGGCGGCUUUCUGGAUCGACACUGACGCUGAGGCGCGAAAGCGUGGGGAGCAAACAGG
rnacentral:rRNA from 1 species